AUUGAACGCUGGCGGAAUGCUUUACACAUGCAAGUCGAACGGCAGCACGGGGGCAACCCUGGUGGCGAGUGGCGAACGGGUGAGUAAUACAUCGGAACGUGCCCAGUCGUGAGGGAUAACGUAGCGCAAGUUACGCUAAUACCGCAUACGAUCUACGGAUGAAAGCGGGGGACCGUAAGGCCUCGCGCGAUUGGAGCGGCCGAUGUCAGAUUAGGUAGUUGGUGAGGUAAAGGCUCACCAAGCCGACGAUCUGUAGCUGGUCUGAGAGGACGACCAGCCACGCUGGGACUGAGACACGGCCCAGACUCCUACGGGAGGCAGCAGUGGGGAAUUUUGGACAAUGGGCGCAAGCCUGAUCCAGCCAUUCCGCGUGCAGGACGAAGGCCUUCGGGUUGUAAACUGCUUUUGUACGGAACGAAAAGGCUCUGGUUAAUACCUGGGGCUCAUGACGGUACCGUAAGAAUAAGCACCGGCUAACUACGUGCCAGCAGCCGCGGUAA
rnacentral:rRNA from 1 species